UACGUAGGGUGCAAGCGUUGUCCGGAAUUAUUGGGCGUAAAGAGCUCGUAGGCGGUUUGUCGCGUCUGCUGUGAAAAACUGGAGGCUCAACCUCCAGCCUGCAGUGGGUACGGGCAGACUAGAGUGCGGUAGGGGAGAUUGGAAUUCCUGGUGUAGCGGUGGAAUGCGCAGAUAUCAGGAGGAACACCGGUGGCGAAGGCGGGUCUCUGGGCAGUAACUGACGCUGAGGAGCGAAAGCGUGGGGAGCGAACAGG
rnacentral:rRNA from 1 species